UGGACUUCUUAGGUGGCCUCCAGUGCUCCCCUCCUGGUAUUCCCACCUUCAUGGUGAAAACCCCUCCCCUUGAGAGUGGACUGCCCUAGUGACUUGCUUCUACCCAGUGGAACAUGGCCCAGGUGAUAGGAUGUCACUUCUGUGAUUCAGCUGCAGUCUGUCUCACUGACUGUCCCCUUGCCUGCUGACAUGUGUGCUCUGAUGGAGCAAGCUGCCGUGCUGGAGAGGCCCACGUGGCAAGGGACUGAAGGCAGCCUUAUGUCAACAGCUAGAAAGGAACUGAGGCCCUUAGGCCCACAGCCCACGAGGAACUGAAUCCUGCCAACAGCCAUGUGAGCUUGAAGCCGGAUCCUUCUGUUGCUGAGCUGGAGGUGACUACAGCCCAGCGGACACCCCGACUGCAGCCGGUGAGCAACUCAAAGCAGAGACCCAGAAAACCAUAAUUCAGGAGUAAACACCAUCCUCUGUAAGAUGUGUCACAGGAGCAGCCUGAAAUCUAUUAGACAGUCAUUCUGAAGCUGUGGUGAAAUGGAAGGGAAGCUAAUGUUGCAGCGAUGGAGAUGAGAUCCAGGCUCAGGAUCACACUUUUUCCAGAAUACUUUUUCAGUGUUUCCAAAACCAGCAAAAGCCAUUUAGAAGUCUCAUCUCCAGACUGCCAGACUACACAAAGGGGAACGCGAUGCUCUUUCAUAAAUGAUACCAAGUCCAAGAGAACUCCUUAAGGCAGCUCCAAUCGAAGGCUGUCUUGGCUGCUUCCGGAAACAACAGAUCACUACUCCCAAAGUCAAAAACGACUAGAACACAGCCUUAAAAAUCAAGUCAUUUAAUUGUGUCUUUGAAGGUAAACAAUAUAUGGAGCUGGAUCACAACCCCUGAGAAUGCCAGAGCUGUGGGUCCAAAACAUGGUGUGGUAUUGUCAGCAGAGUUCAGAAGGGUCUGGACUCUACGUGUUACCAGGCAGAAAACAUGAUGGAAUUCAUGCAUUCCAUUUAGCAAGUGUGUAAAAUUCCAGAAACAGAUCCCAAGAAUCUUUCAACAUGGGGAAAAUUCAACUUCUGGUUUUACAGAGAAACAAAUGAAGAGUUACCAAAACGCUUUGUUGAUUUCUCCUCAUUUUUCUCACACAAUCUGAAGCCUGAGCUGACUAUCAUAUCCCCAGCUCCCAGCAGCUGAAGCUGCAGUUCAGGUUGGAGCUCAGUCUCCAUACUCUUCCAUGUAGCACCACAGCAAGAGUGGCCGGAGGCAGAGAGCUCUCGGCGGGCCAGCUUCCUAACAAGCACGCCAAGUGGAAAAGAACCCUCUGGCAGCAGACUGAUUUAGUUUGUGAGAUUUUAAUUUACAAAUUAAAAAAGCUAUUUAAUACAUGUUUUACUUUUUCUCCUUUUUCUCCUCUUUCUUUACAUCACUCUUUUCCUUAUCUUUAUCUUUCUCCUUGUCCUCUUUCCUAUCCUUUUUGCUGUCUUCUUUCUCCUGCCCUUCUUUCUUCUCUGCAUCGCGGUUGGCAAUCUUGUUGUUGAUGAGGUUGUGCAGGGCGACCACGGAACGGAUCAGCGAGGCCAAGUACACUACCACCAUCUGGUCGUUGGUCUUCAGGUAAAAGGCCUUGACAAACUCCUGCAGGCUGACGUCUGGCAGCAGGUUGAAGACGUCCUGCAGCUGGUAGAUGAUCUGGUGGUUGAUAGGCAGCUUGCCUGUGGCGACUUUUUCCAGGUAGCUCCUGAUAUCCAGAAGCUUGGAGUUCAGUCCCUUCAAACCAUGGACCUGGUUUGUGAUCCGCUGGGACAGAGUGCCCACCGUCGUGUCUUUGAUGUCUCUGUAAUAACCCGCAGUUAGAAAGGGCAGGAAAAGGUAUCGGGUACCAUGUUAUCACGCAAGUUCUUAUAUUCUAAGAAAAUACCUAGCUUUGUUGGGUGCGGCAAGUUUUUAAAAGAAAAAUGUCACUUUUCCAUUUGAUAAAGAUUCAGUUAUCAAUUA